GAUAGCAGCGUGUAAACAUUGAAAUUGAAAGAAGACGGCGGUAUCGUUGCCUGGCCGUCUUUUUAAAUUGAGCGCACCCACCGCCUUGUAUCGCCGCUCCUUCCCCUCACUCGUUUAUAUUUAUUUAGGUCACACUACUCAACAAUUGCUCCGCACCGACUUAUUCAUAGCAAUAAGCAACUUCACAAUUAUGCCCAAAGAACUUCCGGGAUUUUACUAUGACGAAGAGAAGAAUCGAUACUUCCCUUACAAAGGCCCUAUCCCGGGUUCUUCUCGAAAACCUCCUCCAAUACGGCCAUCCUCAGACCCCAAACAGCAGGCUGACGACUUAUGUCAAACCUUUAAAAUAAGACCCGGGCUGCUUCAUGCACGGGAGUUUUGUGGUAAUGUUAUUUAUUCCUUCAAAAAGAAGUUAAGCUUUCAAGCUGAAUAUCAAAAGAGACAUGCAUCGCAACCAACGAUAUGGAAAUACAAACGUACCAAAAAGAUGGCAAAUAUCUCAUUGGAACAUGUUGUUGCGGAUGUGAUCUUGCCCCAUGGUCUAGAAGAAAGAGAUAUAUUGUUGAGUUGCGGCGCACAUGGCUUAGUGUGUGUUUUUCAAACUGCAAAUUUUCGACAAGAAAUCAAUUCAGCAGAUAUGUACGAAGCAGAUCGUGUACGGCCUCUCAAUCUAGAUCAAACACCCAGGCAAACAGAACUAUUAAGAGAGCUUGGUAGUUCUUUUGGAUCUACAUCAUAUUUGACAUCUGACAUAUCUUGUUUAGCGAUGUUGGGGAAAAGUUCUCUAACAACUGAUGGUACCAUGUCAAAACGUUUCCUGAUAACAACCUUAGGCUCGGACAUUGCUACUGGAUCUGUCUACCUUCUAGACUUGAGUGAACCACUUGAUUUUAGCUCUCCUAUUCUCGUAGGGAGUGUGUUACAUGGGAUUGCUGGAUUUAAACAGACACUUUGGACAGCCGACUCUGACCCUAGAGGAACGCAUGCUGCAAUCGGAACCAGUAAGGGGGUUGUCUUGCUCAAUAUUGAAACUGGAGCAUCAACAUGGGCGUUUGAUUGUAAAAGCGAUGUAUUUUCCCUGCAGCUCAAUCAGUCUGGGAACUCAAUGCUUUGUGGGUUAAGAAAUGGAAAAAUUGUGACCGUUGAUACUCGCCAAAGACAAAUGAAAAAGAGCGCGCGUAGCUCUUCCGUAAUCUCGAUGCCUUCAUCUGUCUGUUGUUUGACAUCACUUGAGCAUUGGGAUCAGUACUUCUUGGCUAGCUCUAUGGAUGGAUCGAUGAAGCUGUACGAUCGGCGUCUAACACAUAGAGGAGCAGUUCAAUCAUAUGAAGGAAAUGUAAAUUCGCACACUCGCAUACAACUUGGAGUUGACCCAGCAGAGAAAGUUGUCAUGUCAGGUGAAAGAUGAUUUUUAAAUGAUGCACACAAGUGGAGAGGACUGCAAUAUGCGUAUGUGGAAUAUAAAGUCAGGUGAACUGCUAUUGAGGGAUAGAUUUAUGGAUUCGAUUCCGUCAGCUGUGUGCUGGUCAACAAGUAGAGAAAAAGAAAAGACAAGAAGUUACUGGGAGGAGCAUGGUAUGGGCGCAUGGGUUGGGUCAUACGAAGGGAUCUUUUACAUGGACUGGUUGUGAUCAAACCAAAUGCUGCUACUGCUGCUGCUGCCGCCGCCAAAUGGUGGGUGAGUUUCAUUAUCAAUGGACUAAGUUGACUUAAGUGGAUGGAUGACUAGUUAUUUUCAUACUGAAGAAAUCACAAAUUAAUUUUAACCGAUAUUCUCUCUCUAUAGGACCCAAACCUCGUACACAGACACAGUUCCUUAAUUUUUACAGAAAACAUGAUACAUACGUGGUCAAUAGUUACGAUAUCAUUUUUAUAGUUGAAAUUUUUGUAUGGCCAAGUUAAAGAAUAUAUACUAUGUAGAUUCGUGUACCAAUAAUGUAUGUAUGUGAUGAUGAUGAUGA